rnacentral:rRNA from 1 species
AGAGCGAACGCUGGCGGCAGGCCUAAUACACGCAAGUCGAACGGACCCUUCGGGGUUAGUGGCGGACGGGUGAGUAACACGUGGGAACGUGCCCUUUGGUUCGGAACAACUCAGGGAAACUUGAGCUAAUACCGAAUGUGCCCCCUCCUUUGAUUAGGGGGGUGGGAAAGAUUUAUCGCCAUUGGAGCGGCCCGCGUCUGAUUAGCUAGUUGGUGGGGUAAAGGCCCACCAGGGCUACGAUCAGUAGCUGGUCUGAGAGGAUGAUCAGCCACACUGGGACUGAGACACGGCCCAGACUCCUACGGGAGGCAGCAGUAGGGAAUCUGCGCAAUGGGCGAAAGCCUGACGCAGCCAUGCCGCGUGAAUGAUGAAGGUCUUAGGAUUGUAAAAUUCUUUCAGCGGGGACGAUAAUGACGGUACCCGCAGAAGAACGCCCCGGCUAACUCGUGCCAGCAGCCGC